rnacentral:rRNA from 1 species
UACGUAGGGUGCAAGCGUUGUCCGGAAUUAUUGGGCGUAAAGAGCUUGUAGGCGGUUUGUCGCGUCUGCUGUGAAAAUCCGGGGCUCAACCCCGGACUUGCAGUGGGUACGGGCAGACUAGAGUGUGGUAGGGGAGACUGGAAUUCCUGGUGUAGCGGUGAAAUGCGUAGAUAUCUGGAGGAACACCGGUGGCGAAGGCGGCAUCCUGGACCGGUAUUGACGCUGAGACGCGAAAGCGUGGGGAGCGAACAGG